ACGGGGCCGCACAAGCGGUGGAGCAUGUGGUUUAAUUCGACGCAACGCGAAGAACUUACCUGGGUUUGACAUCCCGAUCGUACUCUAUGGAAACAUAGGGGUCAGUUCGGCUGGAUCGGUGACAGGUGCUGCAUGGCUGUCGUCAGCUCGUGUCGUGAGAUGUUGGGUUAAGUCCCGCAACGAGCGCAACCCUUGUCCUUAGUUGCCACCAUUCAGUUGGGCACUCUAAGGAGACUGCCGGUGUAAACCGCGAGGAAGGUGUGGAUGACGUCAAAUCAGCACGGCCCUUACCAUCCAGGGCUACACACGUGUUACAAUGGUCGGUACAGAGGGCAGCUACCAGGCAACUGGAUGCGAAUCUCAAAAACCGGUCUCAGUUCGGAUUGGAGUCUGCAACCCGACUCCAUGAAGCUGGAUUCGCUAGUAAUCGCGCAUCAGCCAUGGCGCGGUGAAUACGUUCCCGGGCCUU
rnacentral:rRNA from 1 species